ensembl:lncRNA
UGCCAAGCACGGGAUGGCUGCCAAAACACAUAUCAUUAGCUUGGACCAGCUAUAAGCAAGGAAAUGAGAAACAUAUGUUGGAGAGCAAGGUUAGGAGCGAGGGACUAUGGGUCAGUGACAGUCGUCCGAAAACUUUUCCCUUGUUCUUCAGCUGUGGCCCGAUGGUGUCAAAUGUCACUGUGACAGCCCUCAUUUCUCAUGACGGUCGGGCUUAUUUUGGCCUGGUUGGUUUUUGUUGUGUUUUUUUUUUUUCCCCUCCCCUAAUGGGAGUUAUUGAGAGGAAGAAGAGAACAGACAAGGCCGUGUUUUGCGACAGUGAUUCUGCACCACCAGGAGAAGCACAGCGAGCACCGGGACAACAACGGCGAAAGAAGGAACACGAUCGGAUUCCUUCUGCUGGGAUUUAGCAGAUAAGUGGAAAAGCUGAGUCUGAGAAACUGAAGAAACUGCCAGUAGCCCAGAGACCACAAUUUGAUGACAUUUCAUUCUUAAUCAGAAGCUCGGCGUCUUACCAGUGCUGAUGGGCAACCUGAGAGCCGGGGGCUCCCAGCAGCCCCUGCAGGCUGACAGAGGCCGGUCCUCCCUCGGAGGUGAAGGGCAGGUGGGCCGUGAAGGAAAGCCGCCCCGUAGGGCUGCUCCGCCACCACCAACUCCAUCAUUCACUCACUGAUUUAAAACACAAACGUCCUCCGUGGCUUUGAAAACUAUAAUGCCCUCCAUAAGCCAAACAACUGUGUAUCUGGGAAAUCUUAGUGGAGUAUCUUGGCAACAAGAACACUUUAAUAAAACACAGAUCUCAUACAGAAAGAGCAUCUUUUGGGCAGAGGAGAUGAAGUGGAUGAGACACCAAGCCCAGUUUGAACAAUACACCGAGUAAGUUUUCUCUACCCUCAAAUUCACAGCAAAGGCACGGAAACAUUAAAAAAAUCAUUAUUAACGCAGCAAUGAUUGAUAAAGCAGGUAUAGAAACUUCAAAAGUACUUUCAUCUAAAUGCUUUGUUUCCAUCCUGUCAGAUUAAGCCCGAGAACUCGGACUGAGUUGGUAACUCCAGGGAAGACACCGAUGCUUCAGAAAGUGGGAACCAUUUCCACACUUACAAAUGGUUCUGUGGGCGUGAAUGCUUCCGCAGCUCCCAGGCCAGGCAAGAUGACCUUUCCAGAACUUGUAAAAUCAAAUCACAUAAAAAUAGAUUCAGACUUUCUUAAAAUGAAACCGCUUGAAAAAGAAGCCCAACAACUGAAAUGCUGGAGGAAAACAGAACGUGCCUGAGCAAAUAUACUUCAAAAUGAAAUUUUAAACUUGGAAUAAUGACAGUAGUUACGUCUCCAUCUCUCUUUCUCUCUCGCUCGCUGCCAUUUCCAGAUCACUCUUAUCAGAGCUCUGUCAGCCCCUAAACUGACAUUUUCCCAUCCUGAUCAUUCCCAGGAUAGAGAAGAAGGAUUUUUUUUUUUUUUUUGCUUGGCUGAUGCAAACAGCAGAUCAUCCUACAGAGAAACGUCAAGGACAGUUCGGAGUCCUAAUCCCUGACCUGGCGGCCCUUUCCUAACUAGCUAUUGACAUUGAACUUAAAAAGCUGCAAAGCUGAGAUGAGAUAAUGAAUUCUGUUUGCUUUUAGCGUGCGGGAGGAGGAGGGUGAGAGAGGAGGAGGAAGGGCUCCGCAUGUGAAGGUUCUGCUGUGCUGCAGAAUGACUUUCAUCUCUUAAUAUCUGAAACUUAUUUAAGGAAAAUAACUUGAGAAAUAAAAGCUUUUUCCCCCUGGAGUGGAGCAUUUUUCUUGCUCUGCUUUUUGUUACAAUCCAACUAUGCAAGAUCCCAUUAACCAAAGGGACCAGCCUGCCCCCGCCCAGGAACUGCCGCGCUGCCGCCCACAGUCCACAGCCACCCUUCUCC